CUCAUAGGUCGUCUGAUGCAGUGCCACAUAGGAUUUUUGAUGAUGUGGAGGAGAGAGAGCGAGGAGAGAGAAAGAGGUCGUUGCUUCGCGAAACAACCACCUCAUGAGCUAAAUUGUAGGACUACGAGACAACUUAACAACCAUUGUACGAGUUAUUGUUGCCAUGCAACUCAUAAUAUUUUAUUUUUCUUAUGCACAAAUUAAGGAAUUAUAUACCACUACCAGACAACUUAUAGGACAACCUAUUGUACGGGUUGCCUGUUGAAUCGUCUCAAGAUUAC
rnacentral:lncRNA from 1 species